GACGAACGCUGGCGGCGUGCUUAACACAUGCAAGUCGAACGAUGAUCUCCCGCUUGCGGGGGUGAUUAGUGGCGAACGGGUGAGUAAUACGUGAGUAACCUGCCCUUGACUCUGGGAUAAGCCUGGGAAACCGGGUCUAAUACUGGAUACUACUUACUGCCUCAUGGUGGGGGGUGGAAAGGGUUUUACUGUUUUUGGAUGGGCUCACGGCCUAUCAGCUUGUUGGUGGAGUAAUGGCUCACCAAGGCGACGACGGGUAGCCGGCCUGAGGGGGUGACCGGCCACCCUGGGACUGAGACACGGCCCAGACUCCUACGGGGGGCAGCAGGGGGGAAUAUUGCACAAGGGGCGGAAGCCUGAUGCAGCGACGCCGCGUGUGGGAUGACGGCUUUCGGGUUGUAAACCUCUUUCAGCAGGGAAGAAGCCACAAGUGACGGUACCUGCAGAAGAAGCGCCGGCUAACUACGUG
rnacentral:rRNA from 1 species